rnacentral:rRNA from 1 species
GGGUCAGCAGGUUGGUCGUGCCAAUGGUAUGCACUGGCCUUGCUGAUUCCUCCUUCUUGAUGAGCCGUAAUGCCAUUAAUUUGGUGUUGCGGGGAAUCAGGACUGUUACUUUGAAAAAAUUAGAGUGUUUAAAGCAGGCCUACGCUUGAAUACAUUAGCAUGGAAUAAUAGAAUAGGACU